AAACUGCUGAGACGAGACAUGAGCCCAGAGGUGACACCUGCGGUGGCCGUGGUCGGACUGCAGGUGCAGAGCCCGGUGUCGGUCGCCGGCGCCCAACCUCGAGCUCCACUGAGUGCUGGGGAUGGAUCCCAGGGCCUUGCCAUGUUAGGCAAGUGCUGCGCAUGAGCCACACCCCAGUCUGUUUUUAAAGAAAGAUAAGAAAGCAGGUAUCACCUCUGGUCAGUCUGAGGGAGCCAGUGCCCACCCCAUAGCAAGGCAGAUUCCUAAGGGAAUUCCUCUCUUCGUUCCCACAAGCCCCUGCUCUGCUAUCUGCUCCAAGGCCUGUUUGCUAAGCAGUGAACUGCCUUCCUGUUGGGUUCACCCGGGGCUACUCAGCUCCCGCUAGCUCUGGGGAGUGUGAUGGGCCAGGGUGGACAGCCUGACCUGCAAAAAGGUGCAGUGAACACUGGGGACUUUGAGAGACUGUAGAUGGCCAGAGAGCUUUUGAGGGCCCCCAAGAGCCCCAGCUUGAGAAGCCCUGGCAAAGCCAGUCGUUUGGGGGGGUAGCCCCUUGACACCCUUUGGUCGUCCUCACCUCCCAUCAGGGAAAUCCUUACAAAGCUGGUGCCCAGGGCUGUCAUUCCCCAGGUGUGACACUGGGGAGAUGGCCUCUGCUCUCUGACACCUGGGUCCCAUUGCAUCUCUGCUGGGCUGCAGGUGCCCUUAGAAGCUGGGUGUUUGGCUGGUGCCAUUACCUCAGCUGCCUACCCAUCCUGCCAUGACCGUCACACUGGAUUUGAGUGACAACAGAGGGAUGUCAAGAAAAGCAUGAGCACCAAGAUGGCUCUCAGGAGAUUCGGCUGGAGCCUCUGUGAGAAGCUGUCUGCAAGGGGACAGGGAGCCCGGAAGCAGGGACAGGAAGGCAGGUGUGGCGAGGGCUGAGGCCACAUUGAGACAGCAGUUCCAGGGUGCAUCCAACUUCAGUCUGCCUUGAGUCACCUUGGGAUGCUGCUCAGGUACAGAUUCUGCUGCCGUGGACCCAGGCGGGAACCCCCAGGGACACAGAGGCGGGCCAGGGGGCCCACUCUGGGCAGCAGCACUGUAAUGGGUUCUCUCCCACCCUCCGGGCCUGGGCUCUGGUCAAAGGGAGGCAGCUGGUCACUGGUGUCUGGAAGAAAUGAUGGUUCUGGAAAAGCUCGAGAGCCCCUGGCCUUGCCAAGCGACGAAGCAACGCGAGGGUGCAGUUAUGGUUUAUCGCCAGGAAAAGACCUCUGCCUUCCAGCGUGCUGAGAGUUGUUCCCACCCGACACGGCCCCAGGGACCUGAAGGAAUGUGGCUCUCUGAGCCCCGCCUUCCUCCCUGAAGGGAGUGGAUUCGCUCUUAAAAAGUGGUCUGUAAACUGAGUUGUUCUCCAGCCCGGGCUGUUUCCAGUGGCUCCUGUUGUGUUUUAAGACCACGGAUGCAUUUCUUCUGAGAAAUACCCACCUCUGGGGACCUGGUGCUCAGCAGGCAGCACACACCAGUGAGCUGGGGAAGACCCCCUGGGGUGCACAGUGGCCCACGGGUCACUGGGCUCCUGAGCGCCUGAGAGCUAGUGCUUUCAAGAUUGGGGAUUCAGACUUGGUCCCCCAAAUGGGCUGAGGUCCAUGGCCAGUUACCAGCCCAGAGCCCUGACCAAGACCAGUGACUGAAGUGGUGGGACAGAGGUGGCCCAGGGCAAAGCAGCCCGUUAGCUGGAAAAGGAGGCGAGAGAAGGGUCCAUCCUAGUGGACCAGGCUUCUUGUCCCUGGUCAGAUGCUGGCCGUACUCUAGGACUUUCCAUGGCACAUGAUUGUUUAAAGUGCUCCAGGAAACCAACAUCUGUGACACUUCAUGUACCCUAAAGAGGUCUCGAGGCUCCAAUACCAGAGUUGCAUGGCCAAAGCCGCCUGGGAAAUGCUGAGUCAGACGGCAGCCUCCUUGCGGGAGGGCUCUGCCUCAGUGGGCCCUGGCCUGCGCAUCGCCAGCAGAUGAGUCCCACCUGCCCGACUGACUUUAGUCUUCCAGAGCCUCACCUGAGGUCUGUAUGCCAGGGAACACACUUUGGGAACGCAGUCAAUGGAAGGCCUUCAUAACUAAACAGUCUUUCUGUUUCCGUAUCAGUCGCUGCUGCUGCAUAACAAAUCACCCCAAACUUAGCAGUUUAAAACAAUAAGUAUUUAUUAUCUCACAGUUUCUGUGGGUCAGGAAUUCAGAUGGGGCCCAACCAGCGAGUCCUACUGUGGUCUUUCCUGAGGUUGCAGGCAGGGUGUCAGCUGUAGCUGUAGUCAUCUGAGGGCUUCUUAAAUGACUCACUCACAUGGUUGGAAUAAAGGUCUCACCCCUUGCAAUUUGGAUUUCUCCACGAGACUGCUUAGAGUUUCCUCACAAGAUGGCAGCUGCCUUCCCACAGAGUGAGCCAUGCAAGACAGCAAGACUGAAGCCCCAAGGCCUUUUAUGACCCAGCCUUGGAUGGCACAUAUGCAUAUGGUAAUUUCCUCCAUGUCCUAUUGGUUAGCCAGUCCAGCCCUGCUCACUGUGGGAGGAGACCACACUGGCUGUGAUUGUCAGGAGGGGGGACCCUUUGGAGACCAUCUUGGAAGCUGGCGACCAUGGUAACCAUCACUUCCUUCCCACAGUUGGCUUGUUGCCAUUUAGUGGACACUAACCUGAGCAGAGCUGUUAACCUGUGUUGGGAAGAGAACAAAAAGAGACCAGGAAGUCAUGAGCCUCAUCAAGCAGCAGGGCAGAGAGAACGCAGCCCCCAGCCAAUCGCUCGCGCUUCGCCGGGUCAGGGGCACCGUGACCCUGCGCACCGCUGGCCCUCGGGCAGCCAGUUCCACCCUUGCCUCUCAGUCAAGCCACUCGUUUCCACGAGAUGCAUGAGAUGUAAUAUUUUUGUCAUGACAGCUACAUCCACAAAAGCAGCUCUGCUUCUGGAAGUUCUGAGACAGGAUCAGUGAGUUGGGAGAGCCGUGCGGGAAGAUUAGAGCAGAGCGUGAACUCGGGAGGGGCAGAUGCCAAUGAUAAACAAAUAAUAAAUAGGCCAGAUACAAUAUUCAUCUCAUCUCCAGGACGAGGGUUAAGUACAUUAGCAAGAUGAGGAGUCAGGUGAGCCACAUCUGCGGUGACCACAUCUCUGGGUUGGGAUGGAGAGGGUUCCCUGGCCAGGAGGCCACGUGGUACUGAGCAAGCUCCUGGUACCCAAAUCAUCCACGUCCCAGGCUGACCCUUGGUCAUUGGCUCUGUGGCCUAGGCAGGUGACCACAGUCCUGUGUCCCCUCUGCAGAGUGGGGCGAUGUGAAAUGAGGAUUCAGAGGGAUAAUUCCCUGAGCACAGGGGCUCCUGAAAGCUUUGCCAUGGCAAAGCUGAAGGUGGGUCACCAGCUGACGGCACCCCACGUGUGAGGCACCCUUAUAGAGGGAGUCCUAUUGCUGGAAGGGUACGGUGACAGAGUAGAUCCCGCGUCUCAGAACAGACUUCCUUACCGCAGGGGCCUCCUGCAGGAGUGACCCCAGAGCCUGGGAGGCACGCAGCCCCUCCUUGGCUGGGGGCAUGUGCGGGCUCGGAGCCUGCCCAGCGCCUUCCUGUCCUGUUGGGGCAUGCUUUCCAGCACAGGGAGCAUCCUGGGUGUGUUCUUGCCUUGGAAGUCUCAACACGCUCCGAGGACUUGGAGCACCUCUAAGUUUGCUCUCCCAACAAGCAGAUCAGGUGUAGGGACAACACUCAGAGGACAGAACGCAGGAGC